rnacentral:sRNA from 1 species
UUCUGAAUCAAAGUCUGCAUUUUAACAAGAUCCCCAGGGAUUUUACGGAGAAAGAUUUGGAGAGGAUGUGGUUGAAGUAAUCAAAGACUCUAAUCCUGUAGACAAGUGUAAAUUAGAUCCUAA